CUCACCUUCGGGUGGGAGUGGCAGANGGGUGAGUAACACGUGGGAACGUACCCUUCGGUUCGGGACAACUCAGGGAAACUUGAGCUAAUACCGGAUACGCCCUUUGGGGGAAAGGUUUACUGCCGUAGGAUCGGCCCGCGUCUGAUUAGCUAGUUGGUGAGGUAAUGGCUCACCAAGGCGACGAUCAGUAGCUGGUCUGAGAGGAUGAUCAGCCACACUGGGACUGAGACACGGCCCAGACUCCUACGGGAGGCAGCAGUGGGGAAUAUUGGACAAUGGGCGCAAGCCUGAUCCAGCCAUGCCGCGUGUGUGAUGAAGGCCUUAGGGUUGUAAAGCACUUUCGUCCGGGACGAUAAUGACGGUACCGGAAGAAGAAGCCCCGGCUAACUUCGUGCCAGCAGCCGCGGUAAUACGAAGGGGGCUAGCGUUGCUCGGAAUCACUGGGCGUAAAGGGCGCGUAGGCGGCCAUUCAAGUCAGAGGUGAAAGCCCAAGGCUCAACCUUGGAAUUGCCUUUGAUACUGUUUGGCUUGAGACCGGAAGAGGUUAGUGGAACUGCGAGUGUAGAGGUGAAAUUCGUAGAUAUUCGCAAGANCACCAGUGGCGAAGGCGGCUAACUGGUCCGGUUCUGACGCUGAGGCGCGAAAGCGUGGGGAGCAAACAGGAUUAGAUACCCCUGGUAGUCCACGCCGUAAAACGAUGAAUGCUAGCCGUUGGCAGGCUUGCCUGUCAGUGGCGCAGCUNACGCUUUAAGCAUUUCCGCCUGGGGAGUACNGUCGCAAGAUUAAAACUCAAAGGAAUUGACGGGGGCCCGC
rnacentral:rRNA from 1 species